rnacentral:rRNA from 1 species
AGAGUUUGAUCCUGGCUCAGGAUGAACGCUGGCGGUAUGCUUAACACAUGCAAGUCGAACGGGACCUUUCGGGGUUCAGUGGCGGACGGGUGAGUAACGCGUGAGAAUCUGCCAAAAGGUUCGGGACAACCACUGGAAACGGUGGCUAAUACCGAAUGUGCCCUUGGGUGAAAGAUUUAUUGCCUUUUGAUGAGCUCGCGUCUGAUUAGCUAGUUGGUGGGGUAAAGGCUUACCAAGGCAGCAAUCAGUAACUGGUCUGAGAGGAUGACCAGUCACACUGGGACUGAGACACGGCCCAGACUCCUACGGGAGGCAGCAGUGGGGAAUUUUCCGCAAUGGGCGAAAGCCUGACGGAGCAAUACCGCGUGAGGGAGGAAGGCUCUUGGGUUGUAAACCUCUUUUCUCAGGGAAGAAUGAUGACGGUACCUGAGGAAUAAGCAUCGGCUAACUCCGUGCCAGCAGCCGCGGUAAUACGGAGGAUGCAAGCGUUAUCCGGAAUGAUUGGGCGUAAAGCGUCCGCAGGUGGCAAUGUAAGUCUGCUGUCAAAGCGUCUGGCUCAACCAGAUAAAGGCAGUGGAAACUACAUAGCUAGAGUAAGGUAGGGGUAGAGGGAAUUCCUGGUGUAGCGGUGAAAUGCGUAGAGAUCAGGAAGAACACCGGUGGCGAAAGCGCUCUGCUGGACCUUAACUGACACUGAGGGACGAAAGCUAGGGGAGCGAAUGGGAUUAGAUACCCCCGUAGUCC